UCCGGGCGGACGCCGAGUCCUGCCGCUGUCCCGGACGUCUGGUCGACAGGAGUGGAUCGGCAGGAGUGGAGGACCCAAUCAGUACGGAACGUUCGCGCUGUCCCAGCGAGACCGUUCCUUGGGGUGAAGCCGCAGCCGCGGCCGGGCAUCUUCGCCAGCCCGAACCCGACAGGUCAUCCUUCGCAGGCGGCUGACGAAGGGUUG
rnacentral:sRNA from 2 species